rnacentral:rRNA from 1 species
GACGGAGGAUGCAAGUGUUAUCCGGAAUCACUGGGCGUAAAGCGUCUGUAGGUGGUUCAAUAAGUCAACUGUUAAAUCUUGAGGCUCAACUUCAAAAUCGCAGUCGAAACUAUUGGACUCGAGUAUAGUAGGGGUAAAGGGAAUUUCCAGUGGGGCGGUGAAAUGCGUAGAGAUUGGAAAGAACACCAAUGGCGAAAGCACUUUACUGGGCUAUUACUGACACUGAGAGACGAAAGCUAGGGUAGCAAACAGG